AGUAACGGCGAGUGAAGCGGCAACAGCUCAAAUUUGAAAUCUGGCCUCUCGGGGUCCGAGUUGUAAUUUGUAGAGGAUGUUUCGGGUACCGCCUCGGUUUAAAUUUCUUGGAACAGAAUGUCAAAGAGGGUGAGAAUCCCGUCUUGGACCGGCGGUAGGGCCUAUGUGAAACUCCUUCGACGAGUCGAGUUGUUUGGGAAUGCAGCUCAAAAUGGGUGGUAAAUUUCAUCUAAAGCUAAAUAUUGGCCAGAGACCGAUAGCGCACAAGUAGAGUGAUCGAAAGAUGAAAAGCACUUUGAAAAGAGAGUUAAACAGUAUGUGAAAUUGUUGAAAGGGAAGCGCUUACAACCAGACUUGAGCGCGGCGGUUCCCCCUUGCUUCUGCUUGGGGUACUCCGCCGUGUCCAGGCCAACAUCGGUUCUGGGGGUCGGUCAAAGGCCCUGGGAAUGUAUCUACCUACGGGUAGACUUAUAGACCAGGGUGUCAUGCGGCCUCCCGGGACCGAGGAACGCGCUUCGGCUCGGAUGUUGGCGUAAUGGUUGUCAGCGACCCGUCUUGAAA
rnacentral:rRNA from 1 species